rnacentral:sRNA from 1 species
CACACAUGAUGUAGUACUCAGUACCUGGGAAUAAUAGGUUAUUUUACUAGCUGCAUAGUUUGGAGAUACCUAUGGAUACUCUGCACAUGCUAGAUGGACCUUGGGAAGUUAUGCCAGAUGAUAAAACACAGAAACCAAAGGCCACACACUGGUUAUAAUGAUACUUUCUUUUUUUCUUAGUAAAUGUCUGUUACAGCCACACCUAUAGAAGCAGAUUAGCGGUUCCUAGGGACUAUGGAGACAGGAAUGAGGAGUAAUUAUUAAUGGGUCAAAAGGAAAUGCUUUUGAGGAAAUGAAAAUUUCUAGAAGGAAGGUAGAGCUGGUGGCUGCACAUUGUGAAAGCAAAAACAUGAAAAUGAUUAAAAUACUAAGCUGGGUAUUACAUAUAUUCACCAUAAUUUAAACCACUCAUGUACACAGACUUUCCAAACACCUUUCUCCAGCUCACUCUUCCUCAAGAUUGCUCAUCUCUCUUGAUACGCGCCAAGGGUCAUUUUCCCAUAGUCACAUAUCCUAAAGAUGAACCCAUUAAAACCACACGCUUUCCCAUCCCAAGCCUCCCACAUGGCACCAGAUUUCUCACCACCCUCCAGAGUAGACCGUGUGUGACAAUGCUUCCAUUUUGCUGAGGGCUACAUUUUGCUAGUGCUGACGUAGUUUUCUUAGGUCACUAGACAGAGGAUGAACUCAAUUCCCUGUUCCUUGGUUCAAUGAUCCCAUUUCACCUUAGGCUGGUUUCUUGACAGCACAUUUUCUAGUGCACAAAGGACUUCACUUUUAUGUUAUUUGUAUGGGAAGGCUAUUGGAUUGACGUUUAUUCCAGGCUGGACUCUCAGGAUGAAGUAGAUUAUGGCCUCACAGGGGCAGUAGUAGGACUGUUGUUGGCUUGCUUUAAAUGGAAAUUACUGCCUUCACUAGGGGCCAUUAGCACAUCAAAAUGGUGUUUGUUGAGCCAGGAAAAGUGAUACAUUAUGUUUGCAUUUAUUCUUUGGUCCCCAAAGACUAAUUGUUGGUUUGUGUUUUUAAACACCCUUUCAAGUGCUAAGAGCCUCUAAUGAGUUAAAUUAACACACCAUUAGGGUUAAGAAUAGUGGUGUUGACGUGGACACAGUAGACCAAUUACUGGUGCUGGACUAUAGGAUGAAGCCCUGUAUGCACAGAACCCAGCUGCCCUGCCAUUUCUGAAAGACUAGGACACUUGAUAGAGCAUUCUCCACCCCCCGACACUUGUUUUGCUUAUCCUUGCAACUGUCUUUUGCCAUGAGGACCAGCCAUUAUGCAAACAAGGACACCAUGGCUUGGAGAGGCAUUGUGCCCAAUCAGACCAGCAAGAGGGUUGGGUGGGGACCCCAGAGAAUACCUGCUUUUGUUCAUAACACUUCUUGGACUUCUGGUGUUUGCACAGGGUCCAGCUUGAUACAGAGUGAAAGGUGAGCUUCCAUGAUGCCACUUAAAGAUCUGAUUUAGCUCUAGUGGAUAAUCUCUUCCUGCAAUCCAGCCAGCAUAGCUGGGGGUGGGGUGGGGUAUACCUACAAUAUGAUGAGGUGCUUGGCUCUAAGGGGGAGAGGAACUUGCUCCAUUCUGCAGAGAUAGUACAGUGGACAUGUUAGAAACUUCCAGAAACGUAGAUGCUCUAAGUGAAUCUGUUCCACUGUCUAGGAUGAGGUCAUCUCUGUCAAUCACUAUCAUGAUUUUAGAUGAUUUUUGGGUUGCAGGGAUGUUAUUAUCUUCCGUCCUCUCGGCUGAGCGAUAGAACCCAGAGGAUGAUUUUUAUAUAGCGAAACACAGUGAAAUUGAGGCUGCUAGGAACACUCUCUUGGCACAGUUUGUGAUAUGUCAGGUAGACUCCUCCUUUGGGCUGUUCUGGCUUCAUUGUUUAUCCUUAUAAUCCUGCUUGGAUGGGCUCCUAGAUUCUUCACAUAUCUCUAGGAAAAAGCCAAGUUAACUUGUGUUGGGCAGUGGGAAAAGGUUCAUAUCAAGACAUGGACAAUACUGGGGACAGGGUCAGAAUUACCCAAAACCAAGGACCUCCUCUUUGUCAUAGGAGGGAGCUAUUUCUGGUGCUUUUAACAGAGACAAGUUGUCACUGUCUGAAGACUGAUAACCAAGGUCUGUCUCCCUAGAUCUAUGCUUGAUGCCAUCCCUUUGCCGUUCUGAGCAGUAUGGCACUUAGGGGGCUGCUCUGUGCUAGGGGAAUUUGGUUUCUUUUUAAUACGUAAUAAUCACCAUUACAUCUCAAUUACUUAACAAAUAGAGAAGCACGGGGCCAUGUUAUUUCCAAAGAGCCUCCUGAGAGUAUGGCUGGAGAUCUCCAAAUGUUAUCCAAAAUUAGCCUGGAGAGGGCGGGCGAUCAGAUCUUUUAAUAUGUGCCCAAGGGAACACACGCGCAUUAUGUACUACUAGUGUGGGCGUGCUGUGCCUAUUCAUGGCUCGCACGCAGUCCUGGAAAACACCAUGCUCCUCCUCUUCCUGCUAGGAGAUACCUAGGCCCAUUAGAAGAGGCUGCAACAAGACCCUUUCUACUUCCAAGGGUGACAAUUGGAUGAGCUUUUUCUUCUCUUAAGCUGAGAAGCCCCAGAUUCUGGCUGGAAAGGAAAUAAUAGGUCACAGACAUAAUAAAAGGUACAUAAGUAAAUAUGAAAUAGUGGCAAAAAGACGUGAAAUUGUUUGAUGGGUCAGCAAGCAAACAAACAAACAAACAAAACCUCACAACUGGAUAGUGAGACAUUCCUCCUCCCAUUUGACCACAACGGUUGCCUUUUAACUCUGGUUUGUCAGUCAGUGCUGUUAAUAUUUUAUGAAAAGGGUGCUUAGGGCAAGGCAGCCAUAGACCAUUUUCUUGGGAAAUGUACAGUUUCUCAAGGCGUUUGUUUUUCAAGCCUUGGCAGUUGGCACUUUUCUUUUGAGAAAGCAGGAGUUGUUGGGGGCAGACCCUUAGUCUUAUUUCCAAGACUUGGGGUUUGGCUUAGUGUAGAAUUGUGAUCAUGAAAGCAGCUUUGGUUUACUGGUGGCAUAGCACUCAAAUAAAUUUGGGUUUAGCUAAAAGCCCUCAACAUAUAAUGAGGAUUACAAGUUAGGGAUCGGCCUGCCCCUGAAGCGUUCGAUUUCAUUUCGAUGGGCAUCUGGUAGGGCUCACUGCUUGCUGGGGGCAGAAGGCAGGCUUUUCAUCUACUGGAGCCUGCAGCCCUCAGAUGCAGGAAGCCUCCUUCACACCAGCUCUUCCUGCACAGUUUCUACUGACCUUUCAAGUCUUGCAGACCUGCCAAUGUGAAACUUCUCUGACCUUAAUUGCUGGACGCCUUUCCAUCCCCCUCCUCUCAAAAUGGAAAAUGGAAGUUACCCAGCCACAGAAAAUCCGUGCACUGUCGGUGAUGAAUUGAAGGUUAAACGACAAAUCUUCCUCGAAACUAUUCCUGUUGUCUAGUCUAUGAACUGAAAACUGGAUUAACCUUUAAUUACCCUCAACGAUCUCUCAACCCCGAGACAACAUUGCCACUGCCACCAGUAGUAUUUGCAUAUACAAUUUAACGAGAGAAACAUCUGUUUGCAUAUUUGGAAUCAUUACUAGCAUGCAGAUUAAUGGAUACUUGCAGUGAGGUGUCACUUUCGUACACAGGUUCUCCAUUCUUCCCCAUAACCAGGAAGAUGUGAGUCUGAGGUAUCUUCUUGGUAGGAAGGUUACAAUAUUACAAAUCUCCUAUGGAUGGACUUGGCCAUCUGUGAGCACACUUUAGUGGACUGAUGCUCUGGAUAACACAUGGAUACCUAGAGGAGGAGGAAGACCUAGAGAGCAGAGUCACAGAAAGAAGAAACAGGUGAUGACUUCUCAGGGUGGUAGGCAAAUGGAAUUUAGCUCGAUAGAUAUACUACCCUUCUCUCUGUGGUCUGGGAGUCACAUCUUCUUCUCCAAGUUGCUAAAGAAGAUAGAUUUUGAGGACACCAGAGUGCAUGGUUAAUCCAGAAGACACCAUUUCAUCCUCUUAACCAAGGAGGCCUUGCAUGUGGCAUACAAGUGAUCUGUUACCGAGCUCCAUCCCUCGUCUCUGGAUCCUGCAAAUCUGCUGCAUCUUGAGGAACACAUCCUGAAGGAUCCUAGAAACAUAGAUCCCCACUUCACAUACAGAUAGCCACCGUGAUAUCAUUCAUGAUACGGAUCUGUAAGGGACAACCUAAAACUGAACCGGCUUGGAGAGAUCACUCGCUGGUUAAGAGCAUGCUCCUGUCACAGAGGACCCCAUUCCCAGCACUCACAGGGACCGAUUCACAAUUUCCU